CACUAUCGUUAACUGAAUACAUAGGUUAACGAGGCGAACCGGGGGAACUGAAACAUCUAAGUACCCCGAGGAAAAGAAAUCAACCGAGAUUCCCCCAGUAGCGGCGAGCGAACGGGGAGCAGCCCAGAGUCUGAAUCAGCUUGUGUGUUAGUGGAACGGUCUGGAAAGUCCGACGGUACAGGGUGAUAGUCCCGUACACCAAAAUGCACAGGCUGUGAACUCGAAGAGUAGGGCGGGACACGUGGUAUCCUGUCUGAAUAUGGGGGGACCAUCCUCCAAGGCUAAAUACUCCUGACUGACCGAUAGUGAACCAGUACCGUGAGGGAAAGGCGAAAAGAACCCCGGCGAGGGGAGUGAAAAAGAACCUGAAACCGUGUACGUACAAGCAGUGGGAGCACCUUCGGGUGUGACUGCGUACCUUUUGUAUAAUGGGUCAGCGACUUAUAUUCUGUAGCAAGGUUAACCGUAUAGGGGAGCCGCAGGGAAACCGAGUCUUAACUGGGCGUUAAGUUGCAGGGUAUAGACCCGAAACCCGGUGAUCUAGCCAUGGGCAGGUUGAAGGUUGGGUAACACUAACUGGAGGACCGAACCGACUAAUGUUGAAAAAUUAGCGGAUGACUUGUGGCUGGGGGUGAAAGGCCAAUCAAACCGGGAGAUAGCUGGUUCUCCCCGAAAGCUAUUUAGGUAGCGCCUCGUGAACUCAUCUUCGGGGGUAGAGCACUGUUUCGGCUAGGGGGUCAUCCCGACUUACCAACCCGAUGCAAACUACGAAUACCGAAGAAUGUUAUCACGGGAGACACACGGCGGGUGCUAACGUCCGUCGUGAAGAGGGAAACAACCCAGACCGCCAGCUAAGGUCCCAAAGUCAUGGUUAAGUGGGAAACGAUGUGGGAAGGCACAGACAGCCAGGAUGUUGGCUUAGAAGCAGCCAUCAUUUAAAGAAAGCGUAAUAGCUCACUGGUCGAGUCGGCCUGCGCGGAAGAUGUAACGGGGCUAAACCAUGCACCGAAGCUGCGGCAGCGACACUAUGUGUUGUUGGGUAGGGGAGCGUUCUGUAAGCCUGCGAAGGUGACCUGUGAGGGUUGCUGGAGGUAUCAGAAGUGCGAAUGCUGACAUAAGUAACGAUAAAGCGGGUGAAAAGCCCGCUCGCCGGAAGACCAAGGGUUCCUGUCCAACGUUAAUCGGGGCAGGGUGAGUCGACCCCUAAGGCGAGGCCGAAAGGCGUAGUCGAUGGGAAACAGGUUAAUAUUCCUGUACUUGGUGUUACUGCGAAGGGGGGACGGAGAAGGCUAUGUUAGCCGGGCGACGGUUGUCCCGGUUUAAGCAUGUAGGCUG
rnacentral:rRNA from 2 species